UACGUAGGGAGCAAGCGUUGUCCGGAAUCAUUGGGCGUAAAGCGCGUGUAGGCGGUUCCAUAAGUCUGUUGUGAAAGUCGGAGGCUCAACCUUCGAAAGCCGAUGGAUACUGUGUGACUUGAGUACGGAAGAGGAGAGUGGAAUUCCUGGUGUAGCGGUGAAAUGCGCAGAUAUCAGGAGGAACACCAACGGCGAAGGCAGCUCUCUGGGACGUGACUGACGCUGAGGUGCGAAAGCGUGGGGAGCAAACAGG
rnacentral:rRNA from 1 species